rnacentral:rRNA from 1 species
GAUGAACGCUGGCGGCGUGCCUAAUACAUGCAAGUCGAGCGAAUGGAUUAAGAGCUUGCUCUUAUGAAGUUAGCGGCGGACGGGUGAGUAGCACGUGGGUAACCUGCCCAUAAGACUGGGAUAACUCCGGGAAACCGGGGCUAAUACCGGAUAACAUUUUGAACCGCAUGGUUCGAAAUUGAAAGGCGGCUUCGGCUGUCACUUAUGGGUGGACCCGCGUCGCAUUAGCUGGUUGGUGAGGUAACGGCUCACCAAGGCAACGAUGCGUAGCCGACCUGAGAGGGUGAUCGGCCACACUGGGACUGAGACACGGGCCAGACUCCUACGGGAGGCAGCAGUAGGGAAUCUUCCGCAAUGGACGAAAGUCUGACGGAGCAACGCCGCGUGAGUGAUGAAGGCUUUCGGGUCGUAAAACUCUGUUGUUAGGGAAGAACAAGUGCUAGUUGAAUAAGCUGACACCUUGACGGUACCUAACCAGAAAGCCACGGCUAACUACGUGCCAGCCGCCGCCGUAA